UACGGAGGGGGCUAGCGUUGUUCGGAAUUACUGGGCGUAAAGCGCACGUAGGCGGUUAUUCAAGUCAGAGGUGAAAGCCCAGUGCUCAACACUGGAACUGCCUUUGAAACUAGAUAACUUGAAUCCAGGAGAGGUGAGUGGAAUUCCGAGUGUAGAGGUGAAAUUCGUAGAUAUUCGGAAGAACACCAGUGGCGAAGGCGGCUCACUGGACUGGCAUUGACGCUGAGGUGCGAAAGCGUGGGGAGCAAACAGG
rnacentral:rRNA from 1 species